UCCUAACUCUGUAGAAAUGUUGUGUGACUUCGGUAAGCGCUGCGUUCACCUGACGGUCGGACCAUCUCCGCUGACACAGGGACGUAAUACAUACACUACACACGCUGACAGCGAUCAACCAUGAUGAGAGGGAACCCGGCACCGUCCAGCUGUUCAAUUCAGACACACAAGAUGAGGACUUGAUGGAUCUGUGGGAGAAGACUGAUUAACAAAUAAUAAAAGCAAGGACUCCGCCGGCGGAUCGUCCGCAGAGGGAUAGCGGGUUCCGGAACGGACCCGUACCGGCGUCCACUUGAGCAAUGACGGAUCCGAAACGAAGGCGUUGCUCCGCGCUCCAUCCACGAUUAAAACCUUACCUCCACGGUUGCGAGCAGGAACAGCAACAACACACGUCAUGGUCUAACUCUCUGUCGUCAGAUAUGUUGACUCUGUGAGAGCUGAAGGGGUAGGUGUAGAAUGGAGACUGCUGGGAAACACACCGUUAUCAUUUUGGAGAAGCUGAAGAGGGUGGGUCUUCUGCCCCUGUUCCUGUCAUGUCCUCAUCAGUCAUGUCUGUCAUUUCUGAACGUCUACACGCGUCCUUCACCUUAAUCUUGAGAAGGAGACCGACUCAGUCUUUCUAUUCAGUUUUGUUCUACAGGAGAAAUGUCAAGAGAGACCGGUUGCUAUCAGGUGUGUAAAAGUAUAAUUGUUUCUAAUGUUGUAUUUAAAUAAAUACAUUGCUGAAUGCU